AAUUAAUACUUACGUCCUUCUAUUAUUAACAAAUAGUUUUUCCAUCCCUAAAUUACAUCCCGUCAUAUAAAUGGGUCCUUCCAUCCAUUUCGACUCAAAUUCACUGUUAAAGAGAUGUAAAAUGUCCAAAUUAACCUUUAUUAAAGAAAAAAGGAUAAUGUGAUUUAACUAUCUUCCCUCUUUCUCAGCCCUAUCAUUUCUACAAAAUUUAUCGCCGCUAUUGGACUCACAGCAGAACUGUUGCUAUUGGACUCAUGGCAGAACUGAUCUUCUUAACUCGUCAUAUAAACUCUGGCUCAAAAUCAUCUCCGCCACCAACACCACCUUAAAGCUAUUUAGAACACCGACAACCACCCUCUUCAUUUGCAAAGAAAUUCAUUUCCUUCCCCCAAACAAAUCCUAGACUCAGCUUGAAAUGCCAGAUAAGUAUAUAAAUCUCUCCCGAAAUAACAAAGAUUCAUAUACCAGAUGAGGAAAUAGCCAUCGUUAAACUCAAAAUCAUCUCCAUUUCUCAUUAACUGCAUAUAUCUCUCUAGCCAAUUUUUUGGCCUGAAAUCCAUCCAAUCACAGUGAUGUCCCUUGCUCACUGGCAUUCCGGCUAGGUAAAAAGUCAUUGAUGGCGAAUUUGUAGUCUUUCCGAAUUGGGUACAAUCUUAUAUGCUUUCAUAAAGAAGCAUGUGCAUAAACCAAAUCCUUCACUUCUUUGAAAAUUUGAUUCUUCGAUCUCUCCUUUAUCUCUUAAAAGCCAUGUCAAAAAAGUCGAUAUUGUAUCUCGGCCAUCUAAUAUGGAACUGAUAACAACAUCAUUAAUAAAAGUCUCAUCCGAAUGCCCAAAAUUUAGCACUUUCUAUCUGUUUUUUUUUUUUUUUUUUUUUUUUUUUUUUUUUUUUUUUUUUUUUUUUGUUCUUAUGCUGCUCUAAUGGCUCUGUAAAGCUUUUGGAUUUUUGGUUGGACACAUCUAUGGCAAUGGAAAAAGAUAGAAAAAAAAAUUAAAUUUUUAUGUUUUAUUUUUUAACUUAUGACGAAGUAGACAAGUCUUGUAUUUGAUGCAUGAAUCUUGUUUUUGUGUUAUUAAUUAUGCCGUAAUUCUAUGUAAGUUGAAGAAAAAUUAAUUAAAUAUUGGAUUUUGGAAGAAUGAGUUGAAUCCUUUAGUCCUUCUCUCUGAGGGCAGUUUGGGAAUUUAAAUAUAUUAUAUCUCCUCGUUUUGUUCUUUUAUUUGAAAGUUCACGGUGAGUUUGAGUCAAAAGGGAUGGAAGGACCUAGUUAUAUGACAGAAUCGUCACAGGGACAUUAAAGCUAUGUAUUAAUAAUAGAAGAAUGUAAGUAUUAAUUUGACUAUAAUUUAGGGACCUCAAAAUAUUUUGCUCUUAUUAUUAUUAUUACUCCUUUUGUUCUCUUUAUAAAGGGAUAACAGAAUUUUCACAACGAUUAAUGAGGUAGUUCAACUGAGUAUUUUGUCCAUUUUCUUCCUAAUUUGCCCCUGGAACACUAUUAAAUUUUAUGUUAUUUUCAAUGUCAGCCAACUCACUUUUUCCUUCUCCCAAGGGCGUAUUUAAUGCAUGUUUUUACAGGCAAAUUGAAGGGAAAUGGUUGAGCUAAUUGUGUUACAAUCAGCAAAAUUCAUUCCCUAAGAUUGAAAUUUGUUUCAAAUUUUUAACUUCCCUCUUGACAUUAAGUGUUGUGCAUUCAGAAAAAAACAUGUGCACAAAAAUGAAAAAAAAUUGUGCAGCCAAAAUUUUUUAUUCAUGAAACAGUCUCUUGAACUUCUUCAAUAUGUCCACAUAAAUAAAUUUUGUGCAUAUAUUGAUAAGGUCUAAAUACAAAAUAAGGUAAACCUGUUGAAAUUGUUGUGUUUCUAAAUAAUUUUCUGACCAUAUUACACAUCCAUAUAUAAAAUUUUACCCAAAUUCGUGCCUAUAUGAUUCAAGUGCAUACAUCAUUAACUCUCUUGUACUAUAUAAUUGCGUGAAAACAUGAACAAAUACGUGCUUCAUAAUUAAAAGUAGAAUUGCACUGAAUAAAAGAGAAUACACCUUCAAUUCUACUUCGGGAAACAUGAGGACAUUAAAUACAUAACCCAUGUUUUGUCUGUCAUUAUCUCAUUUUUCUCACAAAAUUAAUGCAAAUAAUAUAGCUAGGUUAAGGGCAUUAUAGUCAUUUUCUUUUGACAUUUUUCUCUAAGUUUCCAAAUCAAGUAAAUUUCUCCAUACAAAAAACGUUAAACCUACAAAAAUACCCCGAAUUUUGCGACUUGUUACAAUAACACUCUAAUUUGACCUUCGUCCCACUGGCACCCCAACUUAGAAACUUAAAAAUAGUCAUCCUAAAUUUAAAAUCAACUAUGGUUUACAAUAAAAUAAUAUGAAAAUGGGUCCCACCAAACCAGCUUGGGGUAACUUAACCCAAGCCCCCUAAAAAUAACAAAAAAACACAGUUUUAGUUAGGGGUGGCCAAAUUCUGGUUUUUGGAACUGGAACUCUCAGUUCGAAACUGGUUGUAACCAAAACCGGAACCGUGCGGAGCCAGAACCGGCCAAAACUGGAACCGUAAUCGAGAGGUUGCGGUUGGUUUCGAUUCUAAAUUUUUUUUUUUUUUUUUUUUUUUUUUUUUUUAGAAUCGUGAACCGAAAGAUUCGAGAACCAACCGGAACUGAAGGUUUUGACAACCAGUUAAAUCCAGCGAUUCCAACCAGUUUCAACAUUUUUUUUUAUUUUUUCAAAAUUUUUUAUCAAAAUCACCAAAUUAACCCUCUUAACAACUAUAAACGGCUUUAUAACGUCCAGUUAUGUUAAGGGUACUUGUGUAAGUUAGAUUUUUUUUGUUUUGAAAUUAUGCGAACCGCACGGAAAACCGGUCGGAGAGCCGUCCGAAAUCGUCGCUUUUAGAACCAUUAAGAAGUCGAAACUGGAACUGUCAGUUUCCGGUUCGAUUCUGGUUCCACAUUAUUUGAGAUCGGAACAGGAGAUUCCAGAACCAUGGCCACCCCUAGUUUUAGCCUUCAUAAAACCAAAAUCCCUAAUUUCUCUCUCCUAUCUCCAUCGAUCCCCUUCUUUCUCACAUAUGACAAAAAACAUUUAUAACGUCCUCAAAUCUUCUACAUUUGAUAUAUCCAGAAAUCAUCACAUUCUAGGAAAUCACAUCUCUAUCAAACAUUUCAUCAAAUAGCUGCUUCAUAUCAUCAACUAGACCAAAUUGAGCAUAGAUGUCAACGAGCAAAGUUGCAUACAUAUAUAUCAAACUCCAACCCAAUUUUCACCAAUAACCCACAUAUCUUUUCACCCUCUAAAACCUCUCCUAAAAUCCAAUUGCCUUAAAAACAAAUGGGUAAGUGAAAUUAUCAGGCCAUGGCCCAUUUUCUCUCAAUUUAAGUGCAAAAGAGAUUUUCUAUAGCGACAUUUCUUUGCGAAUGCUUCGAUCAAGAGAUUGUAGAUGAGUGAAGAUGGAUUAUGUAUGUAAUUGAAGAGUCUCUUUGCGUAUUGCAAAUUUCCAUUGGAUGGUUCUGCGCAAAAAGUCAUUAGCUUGUUUUUUCGUCGGCGUUUUGGCGGAGAUCCAAAUUGUGUGUUUUUGUUAUUUUUAGGGGCUUGGGUUAAGUUAACCCAAGCUCGUUUGGUGGGACCCAUUUUUGUAUUAUUUUAUUAUAAAUCCUAGCUGAUUUUGAAUUUAGGGUGACAAUAUUUUUAAGUUUCUAAGUUGGGGUGCCAAGGGAACAAAAGUCAAUUUAGAGUGUUAUUGCAAGAUCAUGGUAUUUUUUGUAGGUUUAGCCUAAAAAAAACACCCUAAUUAGAAACUUUCUCCAUAUAAGGAAAACAGAGGAAGUACUAUUAUUUGAAAAACUAAUCUCCUUUGAACAUGAAAACAUAGGUAUCAGGAAUACGCCAAGACUUGUUUGCAAGUAAAAAACAUGAAGAUAAACUGCUCACUUGGAGUGAUGCGAGAAUAUUUGACAGAGCUUGGCCAUAAGUGUCAUGAAAGUGGACAGCAAGCUUAUCGAUAGGGACAACAUCGAGAACAGCUUCAAGCAUUGGAAUGACAGUACCUGGAACAAAGAAAUAAAACCAAAAUAACAGUGAAACGACUAAAAGUUUAAGUAGUUAAUUGUUUCAUUCUCUUUUUGGGGUAAGCUCUUGCUCAGGUUGAGCACAAAGAAUCCACAUGGUGUUAUGGGAGUGCCAUAGUAAUAAGGUCCUAUGGUCAAAGCAAGAGAAGUUUGCCAAGCAAUGAUGUUGAGAGCAACUUGUUUCCAUCAUUAAAAACACUUUUCAAAAUUCUCAUCUCUCAGUAAUAGCAGUUUUAAGAUAAUCUAAACAGCCUGAAAUACAACCUUUUGUGAAACAUUACAUUACUCACCAAUAAUGAACUAAUCAAAAACUCUAUUGACCAAAAUGAAUCCAGAACUUGGACAUGAAAUUGUAAACUAUGGUUUGGGGGGGAAUGACAAUCGUGAUUUUGGAUUCUUAGGCAUAUUAGGGGAGGUAACUAAUAGCAUCCAAUUUGCUACUAGUAUAGAAGGACCAAAUAAUUUCCUUGAUUUUUAUUUUUGUUCCCAUUGAGAAGCAUUAGUCUCACAUGCCAAACAGUAGGAAAAUACUACUUUAUUUGGUUUCAACUCAAUAGAACUUAUUUUCAAAUUUUACCAUCUUCAUAAUAAAAUAUAUUAUUUUCCCACGUGUAAGGGGUACCCCAAAAUCUAUGUGCAUAAUAAGGUAUCAAGUUGGUCUGUCUUAGUUUGGCUAUUCUUUGUUAUAAACAACUAUAAAUUGUAAGAUUUACAAGCCAAUAACAUGGGUGUACUAAAUUUAGAGUAACAUUUCAAAAUUCGAGUUUUAAUAUUUAUAUUUUAUUUGAUCAUAAUAGUAAUUGGUCCAAUUCUGUUUUGGAAAGUAAAGGGAUGUUGCAAAAAAUAGAUAUAUUGCAGUGUAAACAGGUUAUUUAUAACUUUUUUUUUUUUUUGAACUCAUAAUAUUGUUAUGUAUAGCUACUAAACAAAAAAUAGUCAUUGGAAACAUAACAAUAAACUGAAAUAAGACGGUGAGAGAAAUGGGUGCGUUUAGAAAUUGUUUUAACAAAAGAAAAAUGUGAAUAAAAGGAAAGGGGGCAGGAAUAAAGGAUAAAGGAGAAAAAUAAUAUACCAGUCCCUAUUAACUCUCUCUCUCUCUCCACACACACCCCCCACCACGCGCAGGNNNNNNNNNNNNNNNNNNNNNNNNNNNNNNNNNNNNNNNNNNNNNNNNNNNNNNNNAUAACUCUCCCCCCCUCCCCCCACCCCCCCCCCCCCCCCCCCCGGCCCCCUGAUGCUUUUAAGUUUGAACCUUGCACCUAGGACAUGCAUUUGAAAACACUAAGAUACAUGCUAGUGCUGCUGCUAACUACUGCACAAGGGAAUUAACACCAAUAGUAUUAGCCAAAGGCAGGUUCAGGCAUUACCAGGAGUACCGACACCAAUUGUAUCCCCCAGGGAAAUUUCAGAGCAACCCAUUUCAUAAAGUCGUUUAGCCACAUAUGCAACAUUUGAUGGAGAUACCAUUCCUUCGACAGGACACCCCACAACACAUGAUAUAUAUCUAAUAAUAAGAUAAAAAAACAAAAGGUAUUGGUUAAUCUAGGUCUUCAAUUUUCAUGAGGAAAAAUAAUCAAUACAUAAAUUGCAAUUAAAACAAUUCAGCCUUAUGUCUGAAACUUCUCAGAUUUGUCACAUAAUACUUAUGUAUUCUAUAUGAACCAUGCAUCAAAUUAAAAUUUCAAGAAGAAAAUUCAGCAAAGUUUUAUGGCAAAACCAGAAAGAAAUAUCCAUCAUGUAUACGGAGAAGUCCUAAAAAACUCACCAUUUUGAAUGCAAUAUAUCAUAAUGCGUCGUAUUAUUUAAGAAACCUCUCUUCUAAAGGUAUGAUAUCUUCUUUAAGAUUGUCCAUAACCAAACGUUAAAAAAUAAAAUGAAUUUCAAGAGAAUCACAUUCAGAUAGACUCCGCUAGAACUACUUCAAUUUUAGAACUCAAUGCAAAUAUUUGUGGUUUCCAGGACCAGGGUAAAAAGGUAUACCCACGAACAGGAAUUGAGAGCUUGUUGGCAGCAAGGGAAACAUCGUUAUAACGAACCAAACUAUCUUCAAUGGUGCAAUUGAUAUUCGACUUUGAAAAAGAUUCUGAAGCUGACGCAAAUAUGGCAACUUCUUUAGCUCCAGCUGCAACAGCUGCUUCAAAACCCUGGAAGAGAAAAACAUAAAAUAUCAGUAAAUCCUUCAUUAAGUUUUAUACUGUGUAUGAUUCCAUCAAUUUCUAAUUGCAGCUGCUUACUUUCAGAUUAGGAGUUAAUACUGGAAGUCGAGCUCCUUCAAAAUUCCUAACUGCUGCCAUUACGUCUUUCGCAUCUGCUAGCUGUAAAACAAUCAUGCAGGACCAUAGAUAAUUUGAGAACUAGCGCUCUUAUGAUAGGCAAAACUUGAACAAUUGAUAGAUAUUUUAGGAAUAAAAAUUAAGCAAUAAGUAGGAUUAGGAUACAGAUAUCAAUUAGGUAUAUGAUUUAUGUUCGGAUUUAAUAACAAAGAAGAGCUAGGAUUGAAAGCAAAGAAUAAGGGUUUUUCAAGUCAGCAGCUUAAGCCUGAGGUCUAAGCUUUGUUUGCCAAGUGUGAUUAGAGGAAAAAUGAUCAGAAAAAAGGAGAGACAACUUAGCAGUUGUUGGGCUGCUGGGAACAUUACCAUGGAUGUUAAUAGGCAUUUGGAAGACAUCACUCUAGAAAUUCAAGACCCAGGAUAACUCAAAUAUUAACAUUCCAUUAGCAACAUCCCAAGAAAAUAAUUUAUCAAAAUCCUUUAAAAGAAAUUUCCCAAUCAAAAUAAAAAAAAAAAAAAAAUCAUAAAUAAUAAGAAAAUUGUGUCUUCCCUAAGCAGGAGCGAUGCAGGAAAAUUUCCAUCUCUAGUAGUUGGAGAAAUAUUAUGGGCCUCAUAAGGGGAGGCACUUUCCAUUGGCAACUUAUUCAGUGUCAAGAAGCUACACAGAACUUGCAUAUGAAGAGUUUAGAUGAUUGAAACCAAAAUAAUUAAAUUUCUCCAUUCAAAAGAACAGACCAAUAAUGUUGUGAACCGCCAAAAAAAAUAGAAUAUACAUCAAACAAAUUCAGAAAACUCUAUAUUAGAAAAAAUAAAUAAUUUGAAAAAUAAGGAAAUGCUGAAAAAGGCUUUUCCACUAGAGAAGAGAAACAACACGGAUUUAGAAAUACAAAGAAGAAAAUAGAAAGCCAAUACAGAAAACUAUGUUAACAUAACAGGACAACUAAUUUGCAUGAGAAUAAGCCAAGAGAUUUGUGUAAGCUCUUUAAUUAUAGGCAAGCAAAACAAUCUUCCAAAAAAGUCAGAUUAUUUUUUCAGUAAACUCAACCCUCUCCUACCUGUGGUACCCAUUUUGGCGAGACAAAACUUGUAGCCUCAACAACAGGCAACCCUGAAGAAACUAGCAUCCUAAUCAACUCAACCUUUACAGCAGUAGGUACAAUCUCCUUUUCAUUCUGUAAUCCAUCCCUCGGACCUACUUCCACUAUCUUAACAUAUUCUGGAAUGCUUUUUAAAAGCUGCAGAAUCGAGCAUCGCAUUAGCACAAGAAACUGAAAUGUAUCAUGAAACAUGGAAAACAUGACAAGAGAAUCUCAAAGCACAAGAACUAAAUAGGUUGCAGACAAUAUCACAUGCUUCACUAAACAUAGCAAGUAAAUAAAUAACAAAUCCAGCUCAUAGUGAACCUGUUUAAUCAAUAGGCCUAAGAUUAAAGGAGAUGUAAGUCUCAAUAUAACUACCGAAAUCACUUAUAGUAACAUUUUCUGCAAUAUCUACAUAGGAAAGAAAAUUUUUUUUAUAGAGUUGCUUCACCUUAUUUGCAAAUUCCCUGGAGUGUUUGUCAUUUGGGUUAGAGUUAUAAUAGCGUUUUGACAAAUGCCAAUCAUGACAAGAAACAUUAUCAAUUUCCAUAGAGUUCCAUUGCAAACCAACUCGAGAUAUAUUUCGUCUUUGUCCACUCCAUAACAUUGUCCCUUGUGAUUCACUGCAAUGGAAUGUGAAUAAAAGUAAGAACAGCAAAUUCAAUAAUCAUUAUUCUGUUUGGAAUAUUUCUAUUGAAAUCAUCAAGGAAGAACAAUAGAUGCUUAUGAUUAGCUCUCUAUAACAUGAUUACACUGUGUCAUUCCCCAAUGAGUGAAUCUUGUAAAGAAAAACAAUAGAUGCUUCUGCUUCGUUCUCUAUAACAAAACAUAUUGUACAAACUUUUAUGAAGAAAAAUAACAAAUGUUAGACCACCUGUAUUGCCUUUCAUUCAACCUAACAAAAAGAUUCUAAUAUCUUAUUUAACAGAAAUAUCUAGACUAUACUUAAAUUCCACAUAUAUAACAUGAAAUUUCAAAAAUAUACAUACACGCAAUUACAAACCUCAAAUGUCAGUACCCACAAGAAAAACAGAAUCAGAAAAAUGGGUAUGAUUUGAAUACUGAAAAGAUAAAAGGCAAGUUCUUACUUGGCACCUUUUAAAGAGAAAUUCGAUUGAAACGAGGUGUUUCCAUGGAAGCAGCAGCUAUUAUCCGAAUUAAUCAUCAAGGGGAAAUAGGUAGGAUUAGACAAUAGAGUGUAAUGACGGUAAAGCUUAUCCAAAGCUUUCUUGGAGGCCAGCAUCGCAUAAUCAAGAUUCAAGACAGCGUAAUGGAGUAUUUAUCGAAGACAAGGAGAAAAAAUGUUAAUCCGAAUCCACUCACUUGAUAAACCAAUUUUUUAUUUGAAUCACCUUGAUAAUCUGAUAUCUUGGUUGUUUCUUAUUUCAGUUUUUAUAUUUGGGAAGAAGAUGAAUACAGCGAUGAACAAGGGAGUUCAUAAAAUUGCAAAGAGAGGGAAGGAAGGAGGGAGGAGAUUAUGAUGGCAUUUCAGUAAAAGCAGCAGAGUCUUGGUCUGCUCAACCAAAGAUAAUUCAUAUAUAUAUAUAUAUAUAUAGGUUAAUAAUAAAUUUGUUGUCCAACUAUUUAAAAAUUUUUUCAUUUUGGCAUUUGAACGAAAAAAAUUUUGUAAUUAAGUAUUCAAAUUAAAAAAAAAUUGAUCAAUCAAAUGUCCAUGUGACGGGCCGAAUUUCCAAACAGGACGAUUUGGCUCAUCCAUCCAAUUAAAACAUGUUGCCUAGGCACCAAUUCAUUUAUCAAAUAUUGAAGAAAGAAUAUGCGCAUGAAAGUCACAUGACUUCAUUAGAGUUGAAAUUCUAACUUUAAUCCUUAAGCCUUACAAAUCUAACAAACCCUUUGACGCCUCUCAUCUUUGGACCAUAAUCCAUACACCGCCAUCAUCAUGUUCUCCAGUUUUUGCGAUCAUUUAUGCUUUGGCAUCGGCCUCAAAGCACUAAGUUUUAUCACCGAUCGUUCCCACAGUCGCCACUACUAAUUUCUCAUCUUACUCUUUGUCCGCCUCUGAUUCCUACCCGAUAUCCUCCAUCUUGUCUAUCUUGGUAAGUCUCGCUAUCGCUAUCUCAUUGGCUCUAAUAGCACGAAGUAAACAAAUAUGCAGUGAAAUCUGAAAGUAUGUGUGGUGCUAUUGUGGUGGGUUCCAGAACGUGAUAACCCAAGUUGUCAUUAUGAGAUGGAAAGAUUUUUAACUAAAUCUCUUCUGAUAUAUUACAUGUUAUCUUUUGAUAUUCUACAAAAGGAUUUAACAUGAUAUUUAAAUUAAAUGGUAUUUUGAAUGAUGCAUUUUAAUGAUAUUUUUAUAGUUAAAUAAAGUAUUCUAUGUGUUUGUAUAGAUAGGACAAUCUAUUUACCGAAGGGUUGAUCAUUAUGUAGGAAAUUGUUGUGUAUAUAUAUUUUCCAUAAGUUGUACUAUUGAUUUUAUAGGAAAGCUUAGUUUGACUCAUUGUGGUUCAUGUUAAAAAUAACUUUAAUAUAGCCUAGAUCUUAUAGUUCAGAAUUUGUUCAAUAAGAAUACACAAUAAGCGGAAGCGUACCUUGAUCCGUAACAGUAGAUCUAUGUUAUAGACUACCUUGUUGCGACAAUUCGAUUCUCACCGUAUUAGCAGAUCUAUGUUUCUUCACGCUGACCUUUUGUCCGUAAGUUCUCUCUUAAUGGUCAGAGAAUUAUCAACACCACGGGAGUUUUCUUUUCACGCUCUCUCAAACAAUCUAUCUCCGUAUGUGUUUGGGGUAGCCGUCACACUCUCUUACCCUACGCUGUUGAUUUCCUUACUCUUUUAUAAGGCAGAGGAAGGGUAUUAAGACCCUAACUGGUCCUUAUCCAUUAAGCCCAAUAACCAUCAUCUUGGGCCACCUUAAUUAGAACCAACCCUUUAAUCACAUGGGCCGCAUAUAGAUUAUUAAAUAAUCUAACAAUCCACUGACCAUUCUAGCAUCAAGCUUCUUUUCAUGUGGAUUAUAUAUCCUGACUUCUGCUGGGCAACCCCAAAUAUGAAGAUGUCUUAAACUAGGUUUCCUUCCCGUCCACAGUUCAUAAGGGGUCUUAGGAACUGUUUUGCUAGGAACCCUAUUAAGUAAGUAUGCAAUAGUCUUUAAUGCAUGCAUCCAUAAUGAUAAAGGUACAGUACAAUUAUUCAACAUACUCCUAACCAUUUUCAUAAGAGUACGAUUCCGCCUUUCAGCUACACCAUUCUGUUGAGGUGUACCCGGCAUUGUGUAUUGCACACAAAUGCCACGACUUUCAAAGAACUUUGCAAAUGGACCUUGACAUUGUCCAUUUUCAUUAAAUUUACUAUAAUAUUCACCACUUCUAUCAGAUAUCACCACGUUAACUUUUCUAUUUAACUGCCUCUUUACCUCAUUAAUGAAUAUCUCAAGGAUAUCCAAUGAUUGAGAAUUUUCAUGCGGCAAAUAUACAUAACCGUAUUGUGAGAAAUCAUUGAUAAAGGUAAUAAAAUAUUUUUCACCACCCCAAAAGGGAACAUCAAAAGGACCACAUAUAUCAGUGUGUACAAGUUCAAGCAAUUCACUGCUUCUUGUGGCUGGAUUCUUUAAUGUGUGCUUAGUUUGCUCACCUUUAAUGCAAUUUGUACGCACGUCCUAGUCAGUGAAGUCCAAUUGAGGUAAGAUUUCACCUUCUACUAAUCUCAAAAUCCUUUCUUUGGAUAUGUGACCUAACCUUUGAUGCCACAAGAAAGCAGAACAUUCAUUAUGUGCACUACGUUUAUUACCUAUAUUGUGUUCAACAUUAAACAGAGAUUCAAUAAAUUCAGAAUCAAGAUUAAAACGAUACAAACCAUCAAUCAAAGUACUAGAACCAUAAUAGUACUUAUGUUUGUAUAACGAAAAAACACCAUUACAAAUCUUAAAACUAAAACCAACAUUAUCCAACCUCCCUACAUAAACUAAAUUUCUAGCACAUUCAGGAACACAGAGACACUUUUCAAGAUCCAGAUAACAACCAGUGUCCAGGAUCAAUCUAUAAGUCCUAAUUCCUUCUAUUGAUGCCUUCAUUCUGUUUCCCAUGUAUAGGAACUUUUCAGUUUCGUUUAUGGGUUGGAUCGNNNNNNNNNNNUUUCUUUUCAAACCAAAUCUUCCUUUUAGGACAGUCCUUCUUAAAGUAACCAUUCUUCCUAUAGAAGUAGCACUUCAACUCCUUACGGAUUUGGCCCUCAUUAACCUUCAUAGGGGCACUGUCCCUUUUCUUGCCUUUCUUCCCUGAUUUGUUGUUGUUACUGCUAUUAGCUCCAUUAUGAAAUGUGAGAUUGAUAGAGUGUUCCUUCAAUUUCUUUAAUCUCCCUUCCUCUUGUAUCAACAUCGCCUUGAUUUCCUGAAUAUUCCAUUUUUCCUUAAGGGUGUUGUAAUUCACCUGGAACUGACCAAACUCAANNNNNNNNNNNNNNNNNNNNNNNNNNNNNNNNNNNNNNNNNNNNNNNNNNNNNNNNNNNNNNNNNNNNNNNNNNNNNNNNNNNNNNNNNNNNNNNNNNNNNNNNNNNNNNNNNNNNNNNNNNNNNNNNNNNNNNNNNNNNNNNNNNNNNNNNNNNNNNNNNNNNNNNNNNNNNNNNNNNNNNNNNNNNNNNNNNNNNNNNNNNNNNNNNNNNNNNNNNNNNNNNNNNNNNNNNNNNNNNNNNNNNNNNNNNNNNNNNNNNAUUGUCAUCCUCAUUAAGUUCAAGCUCAGCCUGUUAGACCGUUCCCAAGCCUCAUAAUGGGACUUGUCAGCUUCAGUGCUGGUCUCUGUAAUAGCUGCUGGCUUUUCGGAGACUAAUACCAAAUCCAAGUCCAGAACUCCUAACUAUACUAGAUUUGUUCGGACCAAUCAGCAUAGUUCAAUCCAUUGAACUUAAUCAACCCAAUGCCCAUAACAAACAUGUUAAAAGAAGCUGCAACAUUAUACAUAUACUCAUACGUUAAUACUUUGAGUAAACAUAAAAUGGAUUCAAACAGACUUUCAUUGAUGUGGAGCAACUUGCGAACCUUUAUGCAAGUCAAAAAGAAGCACGCCCGUGCUUCACUAUAGCACGCCCCGUGCUUCUCUAUGGAAGUUAGGGCACGGCCGUGCUCAUUGCAGCAUGCCCCGUGCUUCUCUCUAGAAGUCAAUUAUGUUUCUUUUUAUUCCUUUCAACUAUUCCAUAAUGCUCCAUACAAUAUGCAUGUUAUCUUUGGAUAUACAUUCAUAUUAAUUAGUACAAUGAUAAGUCUCUUUCAUACCAUUGAUUAUAAUUAAUGGUCUACCUUUGGGUAACCUAACAAAUUAUAAUCAAUGAUCUCAAUUGUUCAAUUUUAACUUNNNNNNNNNNNNNNNNNNNNNNNNNNNNNNNNNNNNNNNNNNGCAUAAUCAAUGUCUAAAAUAAUCCAAACAAGGCCACUUUGGUGACUAACAAGUUUUCUAUUCAUUAAACAUUGAUAUGCAAGACUUUUAUGAGAUUGAAUUAAGAUCUCAAAACUUUAACGAUAUAACAUAAUAAGAUGUCAUAACCUUCCUUUUUAUAAAUACAAGCAGAAUAAUUUAUAAAGCAUAAAGAACACAAACAGUUUUCAAUUUCUAUAAUUUUGGCUUCAUUUAUACUAGAUAAAUCAACUUCACAAUACAAAAUUAAUUUCCAUUAAUUAAGCCAAAUAAAACACUAUCUAACAAAUCUAGAAUAGGGACUAGGCUCUAAUAACACAUGUUAAAAAUAACUUUAAUAUAGCCUAGAUCUUAUAGUUCAUAGAAUUUGUUUAAUAAGAAUACACAAUAAGCGGAAGCAGACCUUGAUCCAUAACAGCAGAUCUAUGAGAUUACCUCGUUGCGGCAAUUCGAUUCUCACCGUAACAGCAGAUCUAUAUUUCUUCACUCUGGCCUUUUAUCCGUAAGUGCUCUCUUAAUGGUCAGAGAAUUAUCAACACCACGGAAGUUUUCUUUUCACGCUCUCUCAAACAACCUAUCACCGUAUGUGUUUGAGGUAGUCGUCACACUCUCUUAACCUACGCUGUUGAUUUCCUUAAUCUUUUAUAAGGCAGAGGAAUGGUAUUAAAAUCCUAACUGGUCCUUAUCCAUUAAGCCCAAUAACCAUCAUCUUGGGCCACCUUAAUUAGAACCAACCCUUUAAUCACAUGUGCCACAUAUAGAUUAUUAAAUAAUCUAACAGUUCACGCCAUAUUUUAAAACUUUUUUCCAAUACCAUGUAGAUGAUUUUGCUAUAAAAAUUUGUUAUAAUUAUUAAAUCUACCAUAGACCAUACUGCCCAACACACAGCUAUCAGCUAUAUUAACACAAAUGUUGGCUAUCAGCCUCAUCCUUCUUUGAUUUCUUUUUUAAUAGUAAGACAUUAACUUUGUAGUAUCUGUUUGUAUAUUUUUAUAACAUCUUGAUCUUAAGUAUUAUUGUUUUAUCUAGGUCAUACUAUACAUGGCUUUUUCUAUUGCAUAUCUUAAUGAAAGGCUUCGCAAGAUAUUUAAAAAGAUACAUCUAAGCAUUACAACUUUUUAAUAUAGCUCAAUGAAGUAUAAUUUUAUAAUGCAUUUUAUGAUCAUUUAUCAUACAAUUUUGUUUUUUUUUUUUUUUGAAUGAUGUUAUAAAAGAUUAUUUCAUCCUUUAAUAUCGCUCUGCAUCACUCGGGUUCUAACACUAGUAAAGAUAAUAAAUGAUGGACUUAUAUUUCUAAAAUCUAAUUAUAAAAUAUCUAAAUUAUGAUUUUAAUGUUAAUCAAUAUUGCUUUUUAAUAUAUGGUUGAUUCACUUUUCUCAUAAUCUUUGUUUUUGAAGGAAAGGAUCAAAGUAUUAAUGAAAUGAUAAUUUUCAUUUUCAUUUUCAAAGAAAUGAUAAUUUAAAACUUUAAAAAAAUGAAAGGGUAAUUUAUAGACUUGAUAAUUAGUUUUUUAAAAUAAAAACUCUCAUACUAAUUUAGAUACAAUUUGAACAUCAAUUUAUUUUUUUUAAGAUAAUAUAAAAAAUGGCGGGCGAGUGCUUAAAACUUAUUUAAGAAUAUAAAAGACCAUUUUAUAAAUGGUGAGCCACGUUUAUCAAAUUUUUUUUCCCUUGAAGAAAGAUGGUAUUUAUUAAUGCCUUCGAGCCUCAAAAUAUAAACAAUACAAUUAGGUGGUGAAGAUCACUCCAUCAAAUCUGACAUAAAAUUGGCACCGUUUGUUAAAGCGUGAGCCACAUCAUUCGCAGACAUACACGCAAAAACAACCGACAUAUUAAAAGUUUAUCUAAGAAGAGAUUUACAGUCAUUGACUAUAGACCCACAAGAUGCUAUGUCUGAAUAGGAAUAAUCAUUAAUUGGCCAACCACAAUCUGGGCAUCAGCCUCUAUAAUGAUAUUAGUCCAAUUAUGUGUUUGAUCUCUCUAAUGGCAAAGGCUUCGGCCUCCUUAGGGCCAAAAUUACCAACCAUCGAACACUGCAAGGCUUUCUUGAAUUGUCCAACUACAUCUCUAAGAGCAACCAGCUCCAAUACGAGAGGGAACCAAAACAACAUCUAUAUUCACUUUGAUCCAACUGCAGGCAAAGGAACUUAAACAAAAGAACCAGAAUCAAACCUUACAACGUCUGUCAGAGCUUUAGCAGAAAACCAGUCAUUUAAUGUUGUCCGCGCAUGAUUAACCACCUGAGCUACCGAAUACCAUUUAUCAUUCUAGACCACAUCAUUCUUUAAUUGCCAUAUUGACCAACACACCAUACCAAUUAAUUUUGCAUUCUCCAUAAAUGCAAGAAUCAACACUAAUGAUGUCCACUUGAGAAAAGUAGAAGUAUUAGAAAAAGCCCAUCCUGCAUCAUUAAAGCCUAACAAUUCCUUGCAAAAGAGCAAGAGACCAGAACAUGCAUUAUAAAUUCUGAGUUACCAUGACCGAGAGCAAAUAUUAGUAAUCGACACCCUUUUUAACUGAGGAGGUUUGGACAAGGUAAAACAUUAUUACAGGCUCGCCGGAUGAAAUUAUUAACUUUCAGAGGAAUCUUUAACUGCCAUAAUUUAGCCUAUGUAUUUCUAACAUGAGCAGUGGUAAAAGAAUCCAAAUGAGUCAAAUGUCAAUAAGCACUACACAGAGAAUAAACUCUCUCACUCUCCAAUUUCCAUGCCCAACGAUCUCUCGGAGGAUUAAGGUUAAGAGGGAUAGAUAAUAUGGAUGGUUUUUCAUCAUCAUUAAAAAUUAGAAGAGAUAAUUUACUAUUCUAAUGAUAAUUAAGAAUCAAGUCUCAAACUAUAAAGAAUUGUGAACUGGAGGUUUAGGAGUGAUGAUCUUCAAACCUGUUAUAAAGUUUCAUAGUGGAUAUCUAUUUGUGAUAAAAGGAAAAUCAAUAAUGCCAUAGUAAUAAUAAGAGGGACAGAAAAUUUUAUGUGGUUUAAAGGUAAAGUCUACAUGCACAGGCAAAUGAGAAUAAAAUCCACUAAUUAAUAGUAAAAAUACAAAGUACAAAGUGAGAGAUAACACCCAAAAUCCUAAACCCAAAAAUAUCAAAAUCUCACCAAUAUUUAUCUCUCUUAAAAUUAUAAUGGUAAUUAAUUAUUGACAAAAUUACCAUACCUAAAUUAGGAGAAAAAAAUGGGCAAGAGAGAACACUCUCAAAAUAGAAAGUCUCACACACUCCACUUAUAUUUCUCGUCCAACUAAAAAAUGGCCAAACAGCUAUGAUCUCUAUACUUUACUGAAUCCAUAAUGCUUUGCACCUAAGAUAAGUUAACUUCGUGCUUUGUACCCAAGCAAAACAAUACAAAGACUUUGGCUUGAAGACAAAGUUGUGGGCUUCUAGAAAUCAAGACACUAAUAAAUCUCCACCAUGACUUGAAUUUUCUAGAUUCAAAAAUUGAUAGAAUUUCUUCACCUUCUCCAUUUAGCCCUUAAAGGACAAAACUCCAUUUUGAGAAAUAUCAACCAAGUCCAUGCAAUGCAUGAACCUGUUCAUUGGAAGAAGUUUAGUCAUCAUAUCAGAUGGAUUCUCUGCAUUACUAAUCUUUUUAACUAAAAUGUUAUAUUUAGAAGUAACAUUACAAAUAAAAUGGUACUUAAUAUUAAUGUGCUUCGUCCUCUCAUGGAACAUCUGAUCUUUUGCUAAAUGAAUAGCACUCUGACUAUUACAGUGGGCGAUAGUCACCCGUUGAUUUGAACCGAGUUCACCAAAUAAACAUCUUAACUAUUUAGCUUCCUUUAUAGCUUCAGCUACUACCAUAUACUCUACUUUAGUUGUAAAUAGGAAUUGCCACUGAUUCGGUUUGAAUCGAAAUCGAACUGUACUAUAGAUGAACUGAAAUUAAACUAGAACUAUCAGUUGAAAAUUUUAAACCAAAACCGGCGGUUCAAUGCCGGUUAAGGUUCAUGUGAAUAUUAAAAUUUAAACCUGAACCGACCCAAAAAAUAAUAGUUUCAGUCUAGUUUACUGAAAAUUUUCUAUUUUUAUUUUCAAAAUUACAAUCAUUUAGCCUAUUUAAAAAUUAAAAUCUAAAAAGUAAAAUGAUAAAAAAAGGUGAAAUAUUUAGGUGGUGUACUACAUUAGGAUUGUGUAAGAUUUUAAAAGAAUUAUCAAGUUUGAUGGAAUUAAAGAAUUUCUUAAGAUUUCUUCAGAUUCCAUUAGAAUUCUACAAAGAGUUUUAUGGAAUUUGUGAGACUUUUGUUUUUUAGAUUUUGAUUGACUUUGAUGGAAUUACAAUGAUAUCUAUAUCCAAUCAAAAUUAAUUUCAAGACCUAAUUGAACAAAUUAAAAGGUUUUCAAGCCCAAUUGAAAAACUUAAAAACAAUGAGGGAACAAAAAAUAAAAUGCGUCAUCUUCUCCAAAGUCGUUUUUUUCUUCAUUAAAAUCUUGCCAUCGCCGAUAAUAAAAAGCUUGCAAUUACUAACUGUAAUGGAUAUGGGUAGGUACAUGUAUAUAUCUUUGGAUACUCGCUACCUGUUAACUAUUAUAUUAAACAGGUUUGGUAAUGGGUAUCUGUAGGUCCUUAUCCAUUAUUAGUAAAAAAUAUAUUUUAAAUAAGUUCUAAUUUGGAUAGUUUAAGAUAGUGGGUACCCUACCCGUUAAAGAUGUACUUUAAACUGAUUUUGGACAGAUACGGAUAGUAAAAUUUAAACAGGUUCGAAUAUGAGUAUUUAAAUGAAUAUCUUUAAAUUGGUUUUGGACAGAUACGGAUAGUAAAAUUUAAAUAAGUUCGAAUACUGAUACUUGAAUGAGCAUUUAAAUGGGUUUAGAAUGGAUAUGAGUAGUAAAAUUUUAAAUGGAUACCUAUACUAGUAGUUUAAAAUUUACAGGUACCCGCUGUGCUUCCAUCCUUAUUAAGAGAUGUAUUGGAUUAAGAAUCUGUUAGAUUUUAAAACAUUUUUGAAAUCUUUGGGUUGGAAGAUGGAUUUGUGAAUGGCUCUUUUAUUCAUAUCUAACAACCUAAAAUCCAACGAAAUCAAUAAUUUUAUAAAAAAAUCCUUCCAAAUCAGUAAUUUUUUGAAUAUCAUUAAAUUUGUAUGGAUUUUUAAAAAUUCUUAAUAGAAUAUUAUCAGAUUUUUAUAGAUUUUACAAGAGUCUGAAUUGAAUACCACAAGAUUUUAAUAGACUUCAAAAAACUCUAAAUUGAAUACCAUUGGAAUUUUAAAAUCUUUUAAAAUCUAACAGACUCUUAAUCCAAUGCACCCCUCUUAGUCUAAAAAUUAUAUUGUUUGAAACAAAUGGGAGUUUAAUUCUUUAAAAUUUUUUACUUAGUUCAAAAUUACAUUGUUUGAAGCAUUUUUCAAAAUUUUCUAAUAAUUUAUCUAAUUAAUAAUAUUUAAACAAAAUAAAAUGAUAAUUUAUUUGAUUUUUUUAUAAAAUUAAUUAAUUAUAAUUUUUUUAUAUGAGUAUGGCAUUCUAAAAGUUAUUUAAAAUAAAAUUUAUCAAGCAUUUUUUAAAUUCAAAUUAAUUUUUUUGAAAGAAAAACGUAUUAGAACCAAAAUUUUAUUUUUUAAAAAAUAAAACACAUAUUGUUGAAAAUCGAAUCGGAACUGUCGAUUCAUUGGAACCGCCUCAGAAUCGAUCGGAACCAAAACCUGUGGUUCAAGGGCCGAAUUCAACAUUUUAAAAAUCUUGGACCGGCCAUGCCUAAUUGUAGAUAGCACAAUUGUAGACCAUAAUAUAGCUUUCCAACUAAUAGUAGUAUGACCAAGUGUAAAAACAUAGCCAGUAAUGGAUCUCCUUUUAGCAAGAUCAUUUGCACAAUCUAAAUCAAUGAAACCAGCCACAUUAUUGUUACUUUUGCCAAACUUUAAACAAUAGUCUGUAGUGCCUUGUAAAUAUCUUAAAAUCCACUUCACUGCCUUCCAGUGCUCUUUUUCAGAGUUAGACAUGUAUGUGCUAACUACAUUGAUUGCAUGUGCGAUAUCAGGCUGAGUACACACCAUUGCAUACAUGAUACUAACAAUAGCACUUGAUUACUUACGAAAAAUUUCUUAAUCAAAUUCAUUUGAGAAAGAUAUAAAGUACCUGUAGUUUUGUUCCUCUAAUCUCUAUACCCAAAAUCUUCUACCCAGCUCCUAAAUCCUUCAUCUCAAAUUCACCGCUCAAUUCUUGUUUCAACUUGUUGAUCUCAAAUAUAUUCUUGGCAACAAUAAGCAUAUCAACAACAUACAACAAUAAAUAAACAAAUGAGCCAUCAUCGAACUUUCAUACAUAGUUAUCAUAUUGGCUUCUAGAAUACCUAGUGUUGCACCAUAAAGGAAUCAAGCCUUUUGUACCAUUGUUAAGGAGAUUGUUUCUAGUCAUACAAUGAUUUCUUUAAUAAGCAAACAUGGUCUUUCGUGCCUUCAAACUUCAAAACCUUCAAGUUAUUGCAUAUAAAUUUUCUCCUCAAGUUCACCAUGCAAGAAGGCAGUCUUGUAUCCAGUUGUUCUAACUCUAAAUCAUACAUAGCAACUAAUGUAAGUAAGACUUGAAUAGAGGUAUGUUUAACAAUAGGUGAGAAACUAUCAUUGAAAUUAAUUCCUCGAACCUAACUUUAACUGUAGCUCUUUGCAACCAAUCGAGCUUUGUAUCUAGAAUCUUCAACACCUGGAGUUCCAUUUUUCUUCUUGAAAGAUCCAUUUGCAUCCAACAAUCUUCUAUCUUUUAGCGGUCUAACCAAUUUCAAAUUUUGAUUUUUAUAAAGAGAUUUCACCUUUUCUUGCAUAGGAACUAGAUGUUUGGCUAAAUCAUCAUAAGAGAUUGCUUUUGAAUAUGUAGAUGGCUCACCAACAACGUUUGCUUCUUGUGCCACUAACAAUGGAAAAGGAACAUAAUCUAUAUCAAACAAUCUUCUGGUGAUCAUCUCCUAUCUUCUUGGCCUUUAUAAUCCUUUUAUGAUAAUGUUUCUAUCUGAACUAGGGAAGGCAACUAAACUGGGCCUUAUUCUAAAGAAUCAUUUUAUGGGGGUACACAUUUCAUCUCAAACUCCCCCUUCUUAGCUAAAUCUUUUGGAAUUAUGUCAGAUGAAGUAGGAGAUUCCCUUUUGGAUUAAUCAUCUCGACUUUAUUGAAAAUGACAUCUCUACUGAUUACUGACUUUGAUGGCUUGCGAUCAAGAAGCCACACUUUAUAUCCUUUGACACCAACUAGAUAACCAAUGAAAAUACCCUUUAUAGAUCUAGGCUCCAAUUUUCCUUCAUGUGUAUAGACAACCAAAUAUCUUUAAAUUAGAACAAUCAGGAGGGUUUCCUGACCAUACCUUUUCUGGAGUUUUCAAACCAAUAACUGUUGAUGGAGAAUGAUUCACCAAAUAGCAUGUUAUCGAAGCUGCUUUUGCCUGAAAACUUUCAACAAACUAGAAUUAGAUAACAUGCAAUAGAUCUUUUCCAACAGAGUUCAAUUCAUGGAUUCAGCAACAUCAUUUUGUUGAGGAGUUCCUCUGAUUAUAUGAUGUCUUACAAUUCUUUAUCUCUACAAAAUUUGUUAAAUUCAUUACCAUGGAACUCUAAUCCUUUAUCUAUAUGAAGCCGCCUAAUCUUUUUACUUGUUUAUCUUUCUACCAAAGCCUUCCAUUAUUUAAAAGUGGUAAAUACAUCAUUCUUGUGCUUCAGAAAAUAAGCCUAUACCUUCUUAGAGUAGUCAUCAAUGAAAAUGAGCACCACCUUUCGAAGUAACACGAGUAGGCCCCCAAGGAAGUGAAUGGAUAUAAUCUAAAGUGCUCUAAUGUUAUGAACUGUUAUGCUGAAACAGACUCGCUUCUGUUUGCCGAAGAGACAAUGUUCAUAGAACUCCAAUUUGGUUAUACUUUAGCCACAAAGAAGACCCCUUUUACUCAAAUUUUCCAAGCCUUUUCACUCAUAUAUCCCAACCUCAUAUGCCAUAAUUUGAUUUUAUCGAAAUCUGCAGCAGCUGUACCAGUUAUUACAAAUGCUAGUAGCACAUAUAAUAUGCCAAAUCAUUGCUCCUUUAUUACAGGAGUGCACCCUUAGCAACCUUCACAAAGCCUUUUUCUCUACUAAAUUUGUGACCACUCAUCUCUAAUGUACUUAAGGAGAUAAGAUUUUUCCACAUGUCUAAAACUUAUCGAACAAUAGUCAAUGUCCUAUUACAUUGUCAGACAUUUUGAGUUUUAUUGUACCGAUUCCUAAAACAUUUAGUGUUUCAUCAUUUGUCAUCAACACAACAUCAUUAGUAGGUUCAGGAGUGGAGAACCACUCUUUGUGGACACACAUAUGAAAUGAUGCACCAGAAUCUAAAUAUCACUUACAUGUGGAUUUAGAUUCAACCACAAAUGGACAAAGCUCAUAAGAUUACCAUCUUCCACAACAUUGGCUUCAGCAAUAUUGUUUUGGUUUUGUUACUUAUUUUUCAACUUGAAGUAAUCAGCCUUAAUGUGCCAUUUUUUCUAGCAAUAAUUACAAGAUAGAUUCUAAUGUCUUGAUUUUGAUCUGGUUUUGGAUCUAUUACUGCUGGCUGAAUCUCUGUUUAUAGGUUUUUCUCUAACAAAUAGGCCUUCUGAUAGACUGUAAUUACUUUAAGUGAGCCCUUUAUCCAUAUGCUCAUUUGAAAACAAAGAUGAUUUUUACCUCCUCCAAAGUAAUAAUUGUCUUGUUGAAAAUUAGAGUAUAUCUAAAAUUCUUAUAAGACAGAGCAUACUAGAAUUCUUAGACUUUGAUACCAGUUGUUAUAAAGUUUAAUGGUGGAUAUCUAUUUGUGAUAAAGGAAAAAUUAAUAAUGCGAUAACAAAAUGAUAAGAGGGAUAUAAAAUUUUACAUGGUUUAACGUAAGCCUACAUCCACGAGAGAAAGAGCAUAAAAUUCACUAGUUAACAGUGAAAAUACAAAGUACAAAGUGAGAGAUAAAAAAUUCUAAACCCAAAAAUACCCAAAUCUCACCAAUAUUUUUCACUCUUAAAAUUAUAACAGUAAUUAAUUAUUGACAAAUUUACUAUAACUAAACUAGAAGUAGAAAAAUGGGUAAGAGAAAACACUCAAAAUGGACUGUCUCACACACUCCACUUAUAUCUCUUAUCCAACUAAAAAAUGACCAAAUAACCAUGACCUAUAUUUAUAACUUUGCUGACUCCAUAAUGCUUUGCACCCAAGGUAAGUUAACUUCGUGCUUUGUAUCAAAGUAAAGCAAUGCAAAGACUUUAACUUGAAGACAAAGUUGUGUGCUUUUAGAAAAUCAAGGCACAAUCAACAAAACUAGCAGUAGAAGGCAACUAAGGAUCAUCCUAAAUUAAGAUACUAGAAUCAGAACUCACUUGCCAAUAAACACCCUCCUUAAUAAGUUUCCUUGAUUCCCCAAUGCUCCACCACAAAAAGCUUGGGUUAGAACUUGACAACACCUCUAAAAAAGAAGAAGAAGGAAAAUAACGUGACCCAACAUAGCCAAAUUAAAUUGAUGGAGUUUCUUAAAAACCAAAGCACCCAUAUUUUUAACUUACUCAUAUGAUGCCAACUCACCCAAUGAAUUCCCUAUUCAUGAUGCACUCUGUUGCACCACCAAUAAGAUAUCAUAAUUUGCUGUAAAUCCGAACACAGUUUUAAGGGGUAAAAAUGAAUUCAUAAUAUAAUUGGGAAGCACUUGAAUCACCAUUUUUAACAUAACCUCCUUACCAACCAGUGAAAGAUAACAACGCUUUUAUGAAUUAAGCUUCUUCCACAUUUUGAUUUACAUUUAUUGAUUUUAAGCAUCGUAAAAAAUUGAAUUAUAUUUAAAAUAAUGAGGGUAAAAUUAGAAAAAAUUAAUUGAUACUCUUCAAUUUUUUUAAAAAACCUUAUAUGAUUGUAGACAAAAAUAACUUUAAAAAACAAAAAGGAUAAAAAAAUUGGUAGAAUUAAACCUUAAUAAUUUAUUUAUAUGACAAAUGUUAAACUAAAUUUCUCAUCCACCUUCCACUCUCUAAUUUGCACCUCUUUACUUAUUUUAUUUUUCCUUAAAUUUAAUAUUAAUAUUGAAAGAUUUUAUCUACUUAGAACAAUGGAUGAAAAAUAUACAAUUCCUUCAAUAAUUUAUUAUUAUUAGUUUGAUUUCUCAUGAGAACAAUAACUAGUUCUUUUUUCGAAUUUCACUUUUUUAUCGGUUAAUUUGCUAAUAGUAUCGCAUAUUACCUGCAAAAUUGCAUAACCAUGCUAGUACAUGUACACACCCACAAUUACAAUGAAUAGCUCAUUCCUCUUCCACAAUUACAAUGAAUAGCUCAUUCCUCUCUCAACAUGAAAAGAAACCAACGUCAGCUACUUCACGAGACAAGAUGAUGGAAUUUAAGGAAAUUGCAAUUGAGAAAGCUAUUAGAAAAAAGCAUCACCUUCUCUUUUGAUUUUUCAUCACAAUAAAUAUUUUUCUAUAUAUUUUUUCAGGCAUUGCCUGCCUCUGCAAUAUGAAGUUCAUGACAUAGCGAGACACAGUUCCCACGUACUUCUAAUGUUAACAUCUUCAAAAUUUUGACUGGUAAAUUAUAAUAUGAAAUUUCUAAACUAUGAUUCUCAAAGCCCUUGACACUUCAAGACCCUUAACAAAACUCUUUCAUCAAAUCAUUGUACUCAGAAAUGUUACAUGUUGAUGAUGAUCUGAAUUGCAAUUGAUGGCUCUAGACUAUUACACCCACAAUCUCCCGAUAAAAAAUGGUCUGAGUGCUGAAGUAAACUCACAGUUGGUCAUUUUGCUAUCUAAACUGUGCACCAUAUCUUCAGCACGAGACAAAUGAAAUCUAGUCUUUGGACGAUCAGUUCUCCUAGUUUCUGCGCAUUUUUUUCUUCAUUUUGUCUUGCUCUCGGUAUCUCUCCCGCCGUAGUUCUCUUUGACGCUUUCUUGUCAAUUGUUCAUCCUUAGCUUUAUCUGCUUCAUAUUCUUUUCUCUUCUGUUCUUCCUUAAGCUUUCGCUUCUUCAUCUGCAAAACCAUAUAGAAAGCAUGAGCUAUUGAUAGUAGUUGAAAACUUCUUAAGCACCAUAGCAACUAAGGGUGCUCAAAUUGGGUUGCUGGAAUUGUAAUAAAAGUAAAAGGCCUCAUAAAUUUUCCUUCCAGCAUAGUAAGUUAGUAUUCGAAAGAAAGAAAUGUAAAAGCAACAUAUUUAAUCAAUUUCCCUCAAUACCCAUAUAUAUAAAAUAAUAAUCGAUAAUUUGCUUGCUUCGCCAUCAUUUUUCAGCAAACAUACAAAAUAAAUCUCAGUUUUUUUUUU
rnacentral:lncRNA from 1 species